rnacentral:tRNA from 1 species
GCGGUCGUGGCGGAACUGGUAUACGCGCAACGUUGAGGUCGUUGUGGGGGGAACCCCGUGGAAGUUCGAUUCUUCUCGACCGCACCA